UACGUAGGGCGCAAGCGUUAUCCGGAAUUAUUGGGCGUAAAGAGCUCGUAGGCGGUUUGUCGCGUCUGCUGUGAAAGACCGGGGCUCAACUCCGGUUCUGCAGUGGGUACGGGCAGACUAGAGUGCAGUAGGGGGAGACUGGAAUUCCUGGUGUAGCGGUGGAAUGCGCAGAUAUCAGGAGGAACACCGGUGGCGAAGGCGGUGGUCUGGGGCCGACACUGACGCUGUAGAGCGAAAGCGUGGGGGAGCGAACAGG
rnacentral:rRNA from 1 species